CCCUUAGAUGUUCUGGGCCGCACACGCGCUACACUGAAGGAGGCAGCGUGUACUCCUGGAUCGAAAGAUUUGGGUAACCCGCGAAUCUCCUUCGUGCUAGGGAUUGGGGUUUGCAAUUAUCCUUCAUGAACGAGGAAUUCCCAGUAAGUGCAAGUCAUAAGCUUGCGCUGACUACGUCCCUGCCCUUUGUACACACCGCCCGUCGCUACUACCGAUUGAAUGAUUUAGUGAGGACUUCGGACUGGGACCGAUGCGGCUUUCGGGCUGCGUCGGUAUUCUGGAAAGAUGUCCAAACUGUAUCAUUUAGAGGAAGUAAAAGUCGUANCA
rnacentral:rRNA from 1 species